CACGUAGGGUGCGAGCGUUGUCCGGAAUUAUUGGGCGUAAAGAGCUCGUAGGCGGUGUGUCGCGUCGGCCGUGAAAACCUGCAGCUUAACUGUGGGCUUGCGGUCGAUACGGGCAUCACUGGAGUUCGGCAGGGGAGACUGGAAUUCCUGGUGUAGCGGUGAAAUGCGCAGAUAUCAGGAGGAACACCAAUGGCGAAGGCAGCUCGCUGGAACGGUACUGACGCUGAGGCGCGAAAGCGUGGGGAGCGAACGGA
rnacentral:rRNA from 1 species